CUGAUCUGUUGUUAGCUGGGCCUUGAAUCUUUCCUGUGUGAUCAAUUCAUCCACGCGAUCUCUCUGCAUCCCCGCUCCCCUUCUUCCUUCCACUCGUGCCCUAGGCCUAAUCGCCGUACUGACGAUGAUAGCGAGUGAUGCUUUGGGUUGCUGCCACCACCCCUACUGCUCCCGGUCCCUCUGGUUGUGUUCAUCAAGGUUCCAGUCAACUGAUUCAGGCAAAUGUUGGGCGUUGGUACUCAUCGAGCCGCCGAUCUUCAAUCCGAUCCAUUCAAGUCAAGCUUGACUGAUCGAUGCAGGGCGAACCAAGGCGGGCCUGACUGAUUGAUGCAGGGCGAAGCAAGGCCGGACUCAAUUUCUAUUGGUUCUAUCGAUGGCGGUAACGGCCUCGCUCGACUCUUCCUUGGCGUUGACACUUGACAUGCGGUGGAUUUUCACGUCCCUAUGCGCCUUCCUCUAAUCACUAGAUAACAAUACAAAGGUUUAACAUGGAUUGAUUGGUCGAGGAGAGUAUGUCAACAAGAUAUGAUGCUAGAAACAUGGAGUUCCCCAGGGAGUCAACUCGAUGUACUACAGUAACCUCGGCUGAUCUUAUCUUCGGAACCUCUGAAUGGCUUUACGAUUUGCAAAUAAGGAUCCCUGAUUAUAUUGCUAUGUUUUGAUACACGGUUGUACCUUCCGAAACCUGUGCUGGAUGCUUCGGGUGUUGUCUUCCUCAAUGAGAAAUCGUUCCAUGCACCCGGCAACAGUGAGAACAGACUUCAGAACUUAUGUUAGAACAGUCUUAACUGGAACAAAAUUAACUAAACUCUUGGUCCGAUAUGUAAUUUGUGAUAAAAUCUUACCUUCUUUUGGUUUUCUAACAAAUGUCUUGGCUCUGUUUUGUUUGGAGCCACCCGGUAGUUCUAUGCUGCUACACAAAUACAUUGUGCUUUUUAGGACUGAAUUUUUUUCAUCGUUCAAUUCUUCUGGAUGAUGUUCUAUUUGCUCAUUUUUUAAACUCAUGGAAUGAAACCAUUUUAUUCUCAAAUCUAAUUUUAAAACUGGAUAUGUUUUUUCAUAACCAGCAAAUAUUCUGCUCUCUCAUUUCCAACCAAAAUAUAUAUCUUUAGUAAGUAUUUAACUUUCACCUUGCAUACCUUCAUGCAUUUUAUAAACUCGUAUUGUUCCAUAUACUCGUAUAAUUCCUGUAUUAAGGUGGUCUUUAAUGCGAUCGAUUAUCUAACUUUUCUCCUGCUCUGUUUACAAGUAUGCAGGGCUCAUAUCUCAAGUAUGCUCGAAGCAUUGCUGUUAGGCAAGGUGGUUAAUUCUGUCCAGAUUAUUGAUGGGUGGUUUUCAUCCUUAACUGUAGCUUCACCAAAGUUGGAUUGUUGCAUGCUUGCAGAUACGCGUAGUUUCAGUUUGGCUUGUGAUAUUGAUAUUUUAUAAAAACUAAUUCCAUACUUGAUGUAGAAAGAUCAUUCGGAAAUGAGCAUGUUCCAUGUAAUCUGGGUGGCACUCCCCAUAUAUUCUAUGUACAGAACUCUCCGUUUGCACAACACUGGAACAUUGGUAACAUAUUUUGACUCCGGUAUUUCCUCUCUGGUCUGAUGUACGUCAUCUCAGUCUAUGGAAAAUAAAAGUUUACCCAAAUUAUUAUAAAACCGAUUAAUUAAAAUUUCCAUUUGACUUCCAUCUUUACCCAUUGGCUUAUUUUAGUGAUGUUGAAUAUGGUUACUGCUUCCAUUUUUUCUCCCAUGAACAGAUGAAGCUUCGAUAAUUUGUGAACCUGCAUGCUGCUAUGGUGUUCCACCAAAUUGGAAAUAUGUUCCUACAUUUCCAUGGAAGUGUUUCGUGUAUUUCGCAUGCUUUGAUUUACAAUUAGCUUGGGAAUUACAUCAAUCAGGGAGCACGGACAUUGAACUAUAUAGAGAGUAUGCAUUUAAUAGGUAUAUCUAAGCUUCUUUGUUCAUUUCAAAAUAAGUACUGGAGUUGCUUUAAUGUGUAUGGGUUCCAGACUUAUAUAUUGACUAGAUGUGCGUAUGGGGGCUAGGUAAAUUUGAUGCAGUUAUGCACUAACCAUGGAAACACCACAGCUCCAGCCUCUUAUCAUCGUAGACAUCACAAAGCAACCACCCUGUCAUUAUUUCGAACAUUGAUAUUCCUUAUAAUGAUUUUUUGGGAAUGUUCUUCCCUUUCUGCAGUUAAUGUUGGUAGUUUUCCAUAGAUUGAAGAGAUGCCAGUUCAUUUAAUUUAUGUGCUUAUACUAUUUUGCCAAUUGUUCUUUCUAUUUUGCGUAGCAUCUCUGAAACUUCAAACUUCACUAUGUGGACUGAUCAAGUUGGAAUCUGGUCUUACUUCGUGUGUUAUAUAUAUAGUCUUGUGCUAUACGGAUGAAGUGCAUUUUUAUUAGAUGAUAUCAUUUCCAUUACUCAUGUCGAUUCGUUUUAGCAUGGCCAUACAUUAUAUCUCAAUACUGUCUUCAAAUUCGAGUGGAAAUGAUGUUUUCAAACUUCACCCUGCAAACUCUAAUCUGAAUGUUGUAACAAAAGAAACAAGACUUCCCUUUACCCUUUCAAUAACAAAUUAGGUAUCAACUUGUAUGCGAGCUACCUUUGAGCAAACAAGAUAUAUGUGGUCGGUUUUGAUAGAAUUUUCGCUGAUGCAUGAUUGAGGUGGUGAUCAUGGCUGUAGUGAGGAAUGAUAGAGGGCUACUUGGAGGUGGUUGCUGUAGCACGCUGUGCUAUUAUGACCUGGAACUAUAGAAUUGAUGUCAAGUUUAUAUUUGAUGUUUUUUGUUUCACUAAAGCUUGUACCAAACAAUGAUACUAUGUUCCAUAGAUGGUUUUCUUCGUAUUUAUGAUUUUCCAAGAUCUAAUCUUCUCCAGCGAAUAUAACCGACCAUUAUGCCCAUUAUUUUCAUGCAUCACAACUUAGAUUGAGCAAUGGCAGUACAUUACAUACACAACUUCUCUACUCUUCAUAGUCUUACUACAAAUUUUAUCAUGUAUCUUUAGG